rnacentral:rRNA from 1 species
AUACGGAGGGUGCAAGCGUUAUUCGGAAUCACUGGGCGUAAAGGACGCGUAGGCGGGUUGGCAAGUCAGAUGUGAAAUCCUACAGCUUAACUGUAGAACUGCAUUUGAAACUGCUAACCUAGAGUAUGGGAGGGGGAGAUGGAAUUAGUGGUGUAGGGGUAAAAUCCGUAGAUAUCACUAGGAAUACCGAAAGCGAAGGCGAUCUCCUGGAACAUAACUGACGCUAAGGCGUGAAAGCGUGGGGAGCAAACAGAAUUAGAUACCCGAGUAGUCC